rnacentral:rRNA from 1 species
UACAGAGGAGCCAAGCGUUGUCCGGAUUGACUGGGCGUAAAGCGCACGCAGGCGGACGCGCGCGUGGGGUGUGAAAUCUGGCCGCUUAACGGCCAGGCGCCAUCCCAUACGGCGCGUCUGGAGCCAUGCAGAGGGCGGUGGAAUUGCCGGUGUAGUGGUGAAAUGCGUAGAGAUCGGCAGGGAACACCCAGGGGGAAACCAGCCGCCUGGGCAUGCGCUGACGCUGAGGUGCGAGAGCGUGGGGAGCGAACCGG